rnacentral:rRNA from 1 species
CCUACGGGUGGCAGCAGUGAGGAAUAUUGGUCAAUGGGCUUACGCCUGAACCAGCCAAGUCGCGUGAGGGAAGACUGCCCUAUGGGUUGUAAACCUCUUUUGUCAGGGAGCAACGCCGGCUACGUGUAGCCGGACUGAGAGUACCUGAAGAAAAAGCAUCGGCUAACUCCGUGCCAGCAGCCGCGGUAAUACGGAGGAUGCGAGCGUUAUCCGGUUUUAUUGGGUUUAAAGGGUGCGUAGGCGGAAUGCCAAGUCAGCGGUAAAAUUGAGAGGCUCAACCUCUUCGAGCCGUUGAAACUGGUUUUAUUGAGUGAGCGAGAAGUAUGCGGAAUGCGUGGUGUAGCGGUGAAAUGCAUAGAUAUCACGCAGAACUCCGAUUGCGAAGGCAGCAUACCGGCGCUCAACUGACGCUCAUGCACGAAAGUGUGGGUAUCGAACAGGAUUAGAUACCCUAGUAGUC